rnacentral:rRNA from 1 species
UGAGUCUUGUAUUGGAAUGAUGGGAAUUUAAACCCCUUUCCAGUAAGUAUCAAUUGGAGGGCAAGUCUGGUGCCAGCAGCCGCGGUAAUUCCAGCUCCAAUAGCGUAUAUUAAACUUGUUGCAGUUAAAAAGCUCGUAGUUGAAUUUCUGCUGUUUCGUUGACUGCGUUUGGCGUUUGUCAUCGUUGCGGCUUGGUUGGGUUUCGAUUAUUCGUUUCCCGGCGUUUACUUUGAGAAAAUUAGAGUGCUUGAAGCAGGCUUUUGCCUUGAAUACUUUAGCAUGGAAUAACGGAGUAGGACUUUGGUUCUAUUUUGUUGGUUUUAGGAGCCAGAGUAAUGGUUAAUAGGAACAGUUGGGGGCAUUCGUAUUUGACUGUCAGGUAAA